AGUGAACGCUGGCGGUAGGCCUAACACAUGCAAGUCGAACGGCAGCACAGUAAGAGCUUGCUCUUACGGGUGGCGAGUGGCGGACGGGUGAGGAAUACAUCGGAAUCUACUUUUUCGUGGGGGAUAACGUAGGGAAACUUACGCUAAUACCGCAUACGACCUACGGGUGAAAGCAGGGGAUCUUCGGACCUUGCGCGAUUGAAUGAGCCGAUGUCGGAUUAGCUAGUUGGCGGGGUAAAGGCCCACCAAGGCGACGAUCCGUAGCUGGUCUGAGAGGAUGAGCAGCCACACUGGAACUGAGACACGGUCCAGACUCCUACGGGAGGCAGCAGUGGGGAAUAUUGGACGAUGGGCGCAAGCCUGAUCCAGCCAUACCGCGUGGGUGAAGAAGGCCUUCGGGUUGUAAAGCCCUUUUGUUGGGAAAGAAAAGCAGCAGGUUAAUACCCCGCUGUUCUGACGGUACCCAAAGAAUAAGCACCGGCUAACUUCGUG
rnacentral:rRNA from 1 species